UACGGAGGGUGCAAGCGUUACUCGGAAUUACUGGGCGUAAAGCGUGCGUAGGCGGUUUGUUAAGUCCGUUGUGAAAGCCCUGGGCUCAACCUGGGAAUUGCAGUGGAUACUGGCGAGCUAGAGUGCGGUAGAGGAUGGUGGAAUUCCCGGUGUAGCGGUGAAAUGCGUAGAGAUCGGGAGGAACACCCGUGGCGAAGGCGGCCAUCUGGACCAGCACUGACGCUGAGGCACGAAAGCGUGGGGAGCAAACAGGG
rnacentral:rRNA from 1 species